UGAGGUCUGAAAUCAGUUCUCUAAGAAGACGUCUCCAAUGACUGGAAGCAGGACCAAGAUGGAAGAAGUGUAAGGUGUAAAUCCAAGCAAGUCCCCAGACAAACUCCAAACAAAGGUUCCACUUGAAGAGCAAAUGUCUGGAAUGUCUCAGGACUACAUUUUGCUGCAGCAACCCCUGUCACACUGCAAGUGUGUUGUGUGGAGCCCAUGCCACUGCUCUUCCAUGCUGUCUCUGGACACAGAGAAUGAUUGUUUGCACAUUUCAUUGAGAUCGCAUGGAGAUAUGACAACUCAAGCUGCCACUGGGACCUGAAGUUUUCACAGAGAAGGUCCUACCACAGGCAGCUGCUCUCCAGACACACUUCUGAUGCCAGCUAUGACUGUGUGGGUUUAAGGACCAGCAGCUUCUUCCUAUACAAAGCCUUGUAAAUGAGAACAAACCGUCAAAGCUGUGUGUGGAGCACCAGUACUAUGUGUAGAACUGGGCAAGAUUUCCUGUUAUACAGGCAUUUUCCCACUGCACGAGGAAGAACCACAACACUCAAAACAGUUUUCCUAGAGGGGGGGAAACGUGAAAGUGAGAUCCUGCUAUCCUGAAACUGCUGAUCAGGGCGUUUACCUCAGUCACCAAACAUCUGCAUUCAAAUCCUUUCUUUGCCUCUCUCACACCACAGAUGGGAAUGUGGGUUUCCCACAUCCCGAGCUUGUGGUUUUAC
rnacentral:lncRNA from 14 species